UCAUUGUGUUUUCUGACUUGUUAUAAUAUUUUCUGAAUUGUUGUUGUGUUUUCUGAAUUGUUAUUUUGUUUUUUAGGUUUGCAUUUGUAAUUUGUUAUUUUGUUUUCAGAAUUGUAAUCUGUUUUGCAUUUCUUGGCCACCGUAUUAUGGUCAUAUGGAUCACUGUAUUUAUAUAUCCAAAAAUACUACAAGGAAAUAUAAGUAAAACUUUGAUAUUUUAAAACCUGUAUCAGAAAAAUAUUUAGUAUAUUUUUUAGUUUCAAAUAAGAUUUUUUGAAAGAAAUAACUUAAAAAUUAAGACCACAUCAGAGUGAUUAAUCACUCAAAACAGUCUUUGUAUAUUUGUAUAUAUAUAUACACACACAUACAUACAUAAUUGUUUGUUUUAUAUAUGUAUUAUUUACUUAACUAUUUUGUAUUCCUUGGAGAUAAAAAAAUUAAUAUUGGGAAUGAAAAUGUUGGCAUAUAAAUCAUACACUUACAAUAAAGUUUGAGGUUUGGGUUGGACUAAAACAAACAAGGGGGAAAAAAAGGUUAUUGGAGAUUUUGAGUUGAUGAGCAGCCCUCAUGCAUUCAGUUUUUAGUUCCACUUGGUUCCACACAGAUAAGACAGGAAUUUUAACACACUCAAGCGUGGGCUAAUUAAAACCCCACACUCUGUGUUGCCAGAACAGGAAUCAAUAUGCUUAUUUAAUUAAUCUAUACAUCACACAAGAUCAGCCCCAAACCAGCUCAGUUGGCUAAAGAAAAAAAAGAAAAAAAAAAAAAAUCAGAAACAGAAAAAAGACACACAUACUUGGCUGUUCAUUUGUGCUUGACAAUAACAUUGAAUGUUUGAAACUGCUACAAGUUUACUCUUUGAGGACUUACAAAGUCAAUUACAUACAGAAACACACAUAUGCUGUGCACACAGUAGUCACAAACAUGGGCCCUUUUCACUAAUUGAAUCGAGAUCAAUGGCAUUAACAAAAGACUCUCAUUAUCUAGACUUCUCCAAAUGCUCUGCCCUCUGGAACUCUUUCACACUUCCAGGCUGCUCCGAAAACUCGGCUUCAUAAAGCAGGUCCCAGGCCUGUGAGAAGUGCUAAUUUGUAAACGUGUCUGUGAAAGAGAACAGAAGGUUAUUAAUAAUUCCCUUGACCUUGUUCGAAUCAGAUAUCACAAUGAAGGGUAAUGUUCAAUAAUUGAUUUACUCAGGCUCAGUUGUCUCUUUAAGAAUGAUGAUUUUUAAACAUGCUGACACUUUUGCUCUAGCUGAACGAAACUGUAUUAUUACGGUAUACUGGCAAAGACUGGUUGAGAUUUAAAACCGAAUGUGGGCUUACUUUUCUUGAGGCCUGGAUUUUAUAUUCAAAUGCGCCAUUUCUGGCAAAUUGCACUGAAACCCCUGGAGGGGUCUUGAGGGGGUGUUGUAAAUUUUGUGUCAUUUAAAAUGCAAAAUGUUUCAGUAAUAUAUAAAACAUAGAAAACAUCACAUACAACUGUCCUGAUAUAAUGAAGAUAAAGGCCAAUUAAAAGACAAAAAUUCAGAAAAAUAAGAAAAACUAAAAUAUUUAUACAAGUAAUUUAUGAUUAAAUAUUAGAAAGGUAGUGUGAGAUCAAGUGUACAAUAUCAUGCAGGGAGAUUAUCCAAAAAUUUAAAUAUUUAUGAAUUUUAAAUUCAAAAAUACUUUAUAUGUUAAAUAUAACAUAUUGAACUUAUUAAACAUAAUAUUAUAUACUAACUUUGUUUGGAAAUAAUGAUUAAGAUUACUCAUAUAUAUUUGAGAAGAUAUUUUGCACAUCUUCACAGUGUUUGUACUUGGUUAUACCACAUGAAACUAAUAAGAAAAGAGUACAUUUCUAAGAGUUUCCAAUUCAUUUUUUUUUCAUUCUUUAAAAAGAUUUUUCUUCAUAUGUCAUUGGCCCUAAUACACUGAUUUUGACCUCAAACGAGGAUCUCGACCGCAUCUUGUCUCUCUCCUCAGCUGUGACUACAGUUCAUUCCCCUUUCACUUUAUCAAUUCAAUCUUCCUCUGUUAUCUAACCCUCAUUUCUUUUAUUACUCCUUUUGUUUUUGGCCUCGAAAUCCAAUUAGGCUUCAUCUGAAACACCAGCAGUGUGGGAACUUUAUCCAUUCAUGAGGGGAGAUAACUAAACUAAUUAAGCCUAGGUUCCUCUCUGAAGCUUGCUUGAAUGUGCAAAUUAAAAAUGCAGACACAGCCUAGAUUGGAUUAGAUAGGCCAUGUAAAUAGGGGGAGGACUUUAUUUUUAAAUGCCACUAAAUUGUUUUCUGCUUCCUCUCUCGGCACCCUUUUUUACACCUCCCGCUCACAGACACUUUUAAUGACGCCACGGCACAUUGAGGGAGGGGAGAGAGGGCAGAAACAGUGAGAGAUCUGGAAAGCAGGGCCAUCUGGGCACACUGGCUGGGUGUUAGUAGUGCCAAACAGGAGUGAAUGAAGGUUGGGGUGAUUUUCAGCAACAUGUGAAGAAACGCUGGCUGUUUGCUCUAAUGGCCUCCUCUCCAGCAGAGUAAACACAAACACUAAGCCUGCUGAGUCCUGUUUACUCCAGUUAGCUGCCCUCUCUGGUCCAUGGGACCACCCUGUGCUCCCUAACACACCCGCAUGCUGCAGCCAGGCCCAAAUAAGCUCCCUCUUGGGGCUUAUGGUGCAGACAAUCAAUGGAUGGGGGUAUGAACAGAAUGUCAGAGCCAUCGUACCAUCAUGGUUCUGUUAAAGAGAACGAAAGAGUGAUUAGGAGAAGAUCCAGCAUUGUGUCCAUCAGUCAGUAGGUUAACUUGCUCCGUUAUUAUACAUGACACAACGUGUAAUUGAAUAUUUGAAGAAUUAAAUACACAUCAGGCAUCACCUCCAUUUUUUUUAAAAGCAAAGCACACAAAGCCAAGAACAAGUGAAGUUUGAUUAAUAUGUGUGAAGUUCAAAACUUUGGAGUCCCAUUAUUUUUUUUUAAUGUUUUUUAAAUAAACAAACAUCAAACAAACUUUCUAUUUUAAUAUAUUUUGAAAUGUCAUCUAUUCCUAUGAUAGCAAAGCUGAAUUUCCAUUAGCUAUUACUCCAGUCUUCAGUGUCACAUGAUCCUUCAGAAACCAUUCUAAUAUGCUGCUCAAGAAACAUUCCUUAUUAUUAUCAAUUUUUGAAAACAGUUGUGCUGUUUAAUAUUUUUGUGGAAACCAUGAUGCCUUUUUUCAAGAUUUUUGAUGAAUAGAAAGUUCAAAAGAACAGCAUUUAUUUGAUAAAGAAAUAUUUUUCAACAUUAUAAAUGUCUUUACAGUUGAUUCAUAUAAAUUUAAUGCAUCUGAAAGCAAAGCCUACCAGCAGAGAGCAACUUAAUUUGAAACUUUGAGCCAGUAAAAUUAAGAUUAUGACAACUGACCAUUUGUAAAAUAACAUGGGAUACGUGCUACCUCAGCAAAGAGGUCUAAAAAAAAAGUUCAUUUAAAUCUCUCAAUCAUGAUCAGAUGAACACAAAGUAACAUGAAGACUCUGUAGGCUGUCAAACACGGGAAUAAUGCAUUUCAGAGGCGGAUGAUUGAGUUCAAUGGGACUUGAUGACAAGGUGAUUACAGUUAUUAUGUUGGCACACUGAAACAUUUCUAACAGGAGAUUGAAUUAAGCAAGCAUCAGUAUGAGUUAAUUGAACCCACAAACGUAGAGCUACAGAGCUGGAACGCAGCAGCUGUAUCCAUAGGAAAAGGCCUCCCAUAUGGGUUUCUGUCUCGCCAUUAGCUUAACAGACCUCCUUGAUAGACCUCUACUCAUGUCAGCCACUGCUAAACGGGUAUCAUCAGGACCAUCCUUACUGUUUCACUGCAGAGAGAGAAAGAAAUAGGGAUUAAAUGAGAGAAAAUGUGAAGGGUGCCAUUGAAAGGGGUGAGGGAAGAGGAAGUUGUUGCUUGAGACAGGCAGCAGGGGGAGCAGCUCUUCUAUUGAAUGGAGGCAAAGAUAGAAGAGGCUUCAAACCUGCUGUGGGGCGGCCGGGCGAGACCAGCCAACAUACCCAACUAAUGCUUCACUUCAGCGGGCUCUGGAGGGGCUGUCUACCCGAGUCUCCCUACUGCUCUUAUGUGGAAAUCAUUGGCUUUGUUGCUAUGCAGGGAACAGUUGACAGCGAUGUAAAUAAACUUCAUCCUGUAUUGCUGUCUUCUAAAAUAAUUAAGCAAACAGAUUGCAGUUUUAGUUGAGAAUGGACGCCAGGACUGAACAAUAAUCAUUUGAGGACAAUUAUUUAAUAUAUUGACAAUUCAAAAGCUGUAAUGACAAAAAAGGAUGCACAUGAAAGUGAAAUAAAACAUUUAAAUGAAUGAAGUGAAUAAAAAAUUUCACUGGCAGACAUUAAACCGACAACUCAGACAUGUUAAAGUCUGCAAUAAGUCUUGGAAAGCAGGUCAUCCAAGAUAUAAAUGAGACCAUCUGACCACAGUUAAUACUUGACACAUAAUGCUUCCCGGAAAUAAUGAAACGUUGGAAAGAUUUAUCAGUUAAUUUAGUACAAAAUAAAAGUAUCUGUCAUUUUAAAUUGCAAAGUAAAAAAAGCACCUGAAUAGAAGGGGGAAAUUGGCAGAAAAGGUAAUUUCCUUUCAUUAACUCGUCUGCUCUGGUAAGCGCUUGUUAAAUUUAGGGUUCACCAGAUCACACUGAGGUGUGUGUGUGUUGUGGCCAAAAACAUCUGCUAAUGAGAGAUUCCUGACGGAAAAUUGGCUGGCAGACAGAACUACGCGCAGCUAAAAUCUCAAAAUUUCUCGGUGGGAAAUUUUCUCUUGGCAUGUUUAAUUCAGUCACUAUGGAUUUUGAAUAUAUUUGCAUGCAUGUGUGUGUGUUUGUUCUACAUCUAGCCAUUUCUUUUGUCUUAUUUAGUUAUGCAAAGACAUUCAAGUGAGGCUACAAAUCAGGAAGUGUUAAACUUACCAAAUGAGACAAAAUGGAGUGAGAACUUGCAGAGCUGCUAUUGAAGGAGUUUAAUACUCUUUAUUUUAAAAACACACAUACGGCAGGGUUGUUCACCUCCUCAUCUUUGUAUUAGCCUCUAACCCCAAUAUUUUAACAACAGGAAUGCCAGACUUAAAUUGGGUGAAACAAUUUUUCCACAGCCCCAAACCAUCUUAAAUCACGGCCCCCGGAAGAGGCUUUGCUCUUGCAGCAGCAUCAUUAGGGCUUUAAAUGUUUUCAAAACAUCCCUCAUUAGCAACGGCCCUUCCACCACACACACAUUUACAUCCACAAACAAUGAGCUCCUGGAUCUCAUUCCAAGGGAGGUAAGACUUUGCAACAGUGGCAAUGUAUAAAAAAAAAGGCUAAUCUGUUAUUCCCAGAGCUGACAGCUAACUGACAACACCUAGUCUUUAUAAACACACACACAAAAGUCCUGAUGCCCCCGUGAUGAUAUGAAGGAUGUGAGAUGAGUCAUUUUGGGGUGGCUGAAAGAAUAGACGUGUGUCUGUGUGCAUAUGAAACUCUCCUCACCUUGACCAGCCCACGUGUAUGGGGGCACGACACUGACCUUGGCAUCUUGGCGAUUAAUUUGCCUCUGAUCUUGUCUCCCAUGGUUUGAGUAGCAUGUGUGUCAGGUCCAAUGAAGAUGACACCUUCUGCUGCCUGCCGAGAUAAUAAAGGCUUUACCUUUACAGCUCAAGCAUAUCAGGCAGAAGCUAUGUUCACUCUCAUGUAAAUAGGCGUGUUUAAGAGAUAGACAGUGUAGGUGGGCAAAAAAGCAGCUAUAUAUGAUCAUUCUUAUCCAUUUUCUUCAGAGCAGGUAAUCUUCAUGUGAACAAAGUUGGAGAUAUUCGAUGAAAACAGUGUUGUGGGUAGUGCGGCAGAUCUCUGGGCCCAUCUAGCUUGGAGAACAGCUCAGGUCUCUAUUUACCAAAAACAAACCAAGGGCUGGAGGGGGUGACAGGAGUUGUUCUUCCGCUGAAAACAGGUGUUUCACUGCCAAUGGCCGUGAACAAACUCAUUGCAGCACACUCUGACAUUUGUUUGUCAGUGUCUGUAUGUGUGUGUGUAAACUGUGUCCAAUGUCACUGUUAUCAUGCCAUUGAGGCCCUGCAGAGGAGUUUACUUGCCCCCCCCCCCCUACACACAACCUUUACUUUACCUCACUUUUCCCUCCAUCACCAUUUACUACAGACUCUUAACAUAAUAAAGGGAACCAGGAGAACUAAUCCUCAGAAAUCUGCUUUCCUCUCUCGCCUGUUCCUUCAGGCAAUACAGCAUGAGAAAACACUUCAUUUGAAUUCUUAAACUGUACAAACUGUGAAUGAGUUCCUUUUAACUGCAAAUGUCAUUACAUCUCCAUUUCCAGGGGAGAGCAGUAGGGGAAAAGAGGCUCUCUCACAUUCAUGACAAACCCUUUUAAAUAGGGCACAAAGGGGCAAGAGGGCUGAAGAGCCCCCACCCACCAAAGACAAGGGCCAUAAUAUCGAAUGCAUUUACCUGGCACUUAUGUUUCGAAUGUGGGUCUUUGCUCUAAUUCUACAAAACAUAUACACACACAUUUGAGAGGCGGUGACCCUUUUGAGCACAACUUUUUUGCUGUUUCUUAAAGGAUUUAAAGGGAUGGUUCACCUAAAAAUAAAAAUUCUGAUGUUUAUAAUAAAUAACAAUAGUGGAAACUCUCUGAAAUGUACAUGCUGUUUUGUUUCACUGCUGAAAGUCUUUAAUUUUAAGAAACGGCCCAUUCAAGGCUGUUGCAUUGUCAAAAUGACUCGCGAGGUGUCCGUCCACAUUCACAAACAGCAGUGAGGAACAUUAAACAUGACAUGAGAGAAAUCUUGACAAUCUUAAAAGCCGCAAAACACAAGCACAACAUCUUGCGGGAAACCAGCCAAACCAAACAUGGCAUAUGGCAGCCAUUAAAGUGAUCCGGCAGAGCCGACUUCAGCCAUUAAAAAAGCCACACACAGUAUUUCUGCUUGAUCGUGUCACUUUAGCAGAUCUAAUUGGCUGCGUUCUGUCCAUGUUUCACAGCAACAGUAAACCACACAACCCAGCCGGUCCCUUUCAUCUCAGCAGAAUUACAUUAGCGCAGCUGUGUUCAACAGAGGCCGCAACACAUCACGACAGCUAACAACACUCGGAAUGAUUAGAAAAGCAAUAAAUCCAAGCUUUCACGAGACGUGCAUUAGCACGAUAUUAUUUAAAAUCAUGGCCUCAUCACUGUCAGCGGUCAGAUGGCAUUUGAAUAUAAAGGUGAGGAUUUUGAAAAGGAUGAAAUGUGAAAUUUAAGGCUCAGGUUUUCAAAUACCCAGUUUUCUGAGCUACGUUGUGAAUUAGCACAUGCUAGCAGGCGGUCAGAAGUGGAGACGACUAGCGCUGCAUUGAUAUUCCUAGAGUGUACAUCCAUUCACGACUUCACCCUGGUAGUGUUCGGAUCAAAGGAAACUUUCCUCGAAGCGCAUCUGACCAAACUCAGCCAUACUUCAUUCAAAUACACGGCCACAUUUGUAUUCCCACACUGCAUUUUACUCAAAUAUGCUAUUUACAGUACUACAAGAAGCAGUCCACUAUUACAUGUGGAAUGAAGUAAACCAGCAUGAUUGUAAGGCUUAAAAUGUACAGUAUUUUAAAACACAAGUACUAUAUGUAUUUUCACCCGUUUUUAGAUGCUAAUUGCUACGAAGAACCAUCUACAUUGACUCGUGACAAAACUACUGACGUGGGGGGGGGG
ensembl:lncRNA